rnacentral:lncRNA from 1 species
GUUACACGACAGCGUCGCAAACAAAACACGUCGGGGAAACCAGACCGCCGCGGAGAGGGACAGCGCCCAGCGAAAGCGAGGCUGAUGGAGCGAAGCCAGGAAGAGGAUGCGGAGACGCGGGGUAGGCGGGGCGAAUUGGCAGGAAGCGGGGGCGGGGCCCGGGAAGGGAGGGGAGGGGCGGGGCGAGGUCGGGCUGGUGGCGUUCAGGGUUAGGUCUGCCGAGGUCCCGCGGCAGGAGAGCCCGGGGACUGCAUGCGUCUGCGCAGCUGCGAGGUUAAGCCGCCCUUUGGCGGUCCCCAGGACGGUUCCUGGUGCCAGACGGUCCCAGUAAGUGCUGUCUACGUUAUUAUUUGGAAGAAUGCACCUCAGAUGUUAACUAUUUUCUUAAUAUAACAUCCGUAAGUAUUCGUCGUAAAAAGUAUUGUAAAUGCAGGCCGGGCGUGGUGGCGCGUGCCUGUAAUCCCAGCACUUUGAGAGUCCUAGGCGGGAGGGUCGCUUGAGCCCGGGAGUCCCAGGCUGCAGUGAGCUGUGAUCACCACUGCAUUGCAGCCCGGGCGCUCUGUCUCAGAAACAUUUUUUUUAAUUUAGUAAAUGCAAAUAUACCACACAUUUCACAUAACCACGGUUAAUUUCUAGUCUUACACUCAUUGCAGAAAUGGAAUCAUACUGCACUAUGAGCUUUUUUGUACAUGGUUUUUUCUCUUAACAUGAUUUCGAGAACAUGUCUCCAGUUAAUAUUCAUUUACAAAAUUGUUUGCUGUGCCACGUUUUACUUAGAUUGCCCUAGGGCACUUAUCCUGGGCACUUAGCUGUGCAUUAGAAACCCACGGGGAGACGUUACAAAUACCUAGUUCCACCCCCAGAGAUGCUGAUUGAGAUAUUAAUAAACCCCACCUCUUCAGGUGAGUCUGAGGUGUAGUCUGGGCUGAGAACCACCAGGUGGCAUUUCCCAGACUUGCCCGGUCCCUAAACCUACAGAAACGUACGCGUAUUUCGCCAGUGAUUACCACCAGCGAUUCUAAUUAUCUAGUUAAGAGCCACCUCAAUUCUUUUUUAAAACAUAUUUUUAUUUUAUUUUAUGUGUUUUUGGGGAGAAAGAUAUUUUAUGUAAAAAAAAUUUUUUUCAUCUUUUUAAAACUUGUAUUUCAGUAGUUUUGGGGGUACAGGUGGUUUUUGGUUACAUGGAUAAGUUUUUAGUGGUGAUUUCUGAGACUUUGGUGCACCCGUCACCAGAGCAGUGUACGCUGUACCUGUCAGGCCUCUGAGCCCAAGCCUGCACAUAUACAUCCACAUGGCCUGAAGUAACUGAAGAAUCACAAAAGAAGUGCAAAUGGCUGGUUCCUGCCUUAACUGAUGACAUUACCUUGUGAAAUCCCUUCUCCUGGCUCAGAAGCUCCCCCGCUGAGCACCUUAUGACCCCCGCCCCGGCCUGCCAGAGAACAACCCCCUUUGACUGUAAUUUUCCACUACCCACCCAAAUCCUAUAAGAUGGCCCCACCCCUCUCUCACUUCCCUGACUCUUUUCAGACUCAGCCCGCCUGCACCCAGGUGAUUAAAAAGCUUUAUUGCUCACACAGAGCCUGUUUGGUGGUCUCCACACGGACGCGCGUGACAGUACCCAAAAUAUAGUCUUUUAUCCCUCAGCCCUGUCCCACGUAUACCCCCUCCCACCCCAGAGUCCUCAAAGUCCAUUAUAUCAUUCUUAUGUCUUUGCAUCCUCAUAACUUAGCUCCCACUUAGAAGUGUAAUAUUUGGUUUGCUACCUCAAUUCUUAUGAAAAAUUUAAGGAAGAGAAAUUGCUGGGUCAACAGGUGUGAUAUCUACUGAAUUUUAAAGGCUUCUUCAAUUUACUGCUAAAUUGCACUUCAGAAAGAUCCUGCCAAUUAACGUUCCUAACAGCAGCAGAUAUAAUGUGGUAACUUGGGGAACUGAUUCAAAUUAGCUCAAAAGUACUCUCAUAAAUUUUUUAUUAUAGGGCCUGGGCAAGGUGGCUUAUGCCUGUAAUCCCAGCACUUUAGGAGACCGAGGCAGGUGGAUCACUUGAGGCCAGGAGUUUGAGACCAGCCUGGCCGUGGUGAAACCCCGAAUCUACUAAAAAUAUAAAAAUUGGCCGAGCAUGGCGGCUCAUGCCUGUAAUCCCAGCUACUUGGGAGGAUGAGGCAGAAGAAUGGCUUGAACCUGGGAGGUGGAGGUUGCAGUGAGCCGAGAUCUCACCACUGCACUCCAGCCUGGGCGACAGAGUGAGACUGUCUCAAAAAAAAAUUUUUGUUAUUAUAAUAAACUGUAUUUUGUGCAAGCCAUU